GCUCUGUCACCCAGGCUAGAGUGCAGUGGCGCUAUCUUGGCUCACUGCAACCUCCGCCUCCCGGGUUCAACGAUUCUCCUGCCUCAGUCUCCUGAGUAGCUGGGAUUACAGGUGAAGAAGAUAGAUGGGCCUCAGAAAGCAAGGAAGUCUCUCUGAACUUCUCCCACCUAUUUCCCAAAGCAAACCAUCAAACCUAGGAAGGUUACACUCUGACCUACCUAUUCUGAGAGUAGGGUGUAAGACCAUCAUGUGACAAGUGUCCUGCCCCAUUCUUGGAAGAAAUGAAUACUACACAAAGAAACCAAAAGAAUGUGAACAAACAGGCCUUGUUGAGCUCAACCCCCAACUGUCAGCACCACCCCCCAGUUUGUUAAAUUAGAUCAUAUCUCCCUUUUUGUCCAAUCAUAUUUCUCUACAAUUAUCCACUUCUUUCAUCAGACAUAGCAUAAAAAUACACAGUGUCUCAGGGUGUUUGGACCUUAAUUUACGAAGAAUUCCAUGUCAUGUAAAACUCUGAUUAAAUAAAUGUUAUGCUUUUCUCUUGUUAAUUUGCCUUUUGGUACAG
rnacentral:lncRNA from 1 species